rnacentral:lncRNA from 1 species
GCAAGUUUUGAGGUUUUGGAUUCACUUCAUUCUUCCCUUCAUGAAGAAAUGGAAUUGUCACAUUGUUUUUAGCAUGGAUUUUAGAUCUCCACUUAAUUCUGGACUUCAGAUGGCCAGUGCGAGGCCAGUGAGAGAGAUCUGGAGAAAGAAGGGAAGAGACUACUACUCUCCAG